rnacentral:lncRNA from 1 species
CUGUAUGUGAGCAAUUCCUUGCUUUGUGGAGUUGCCACAUGCAGUGCUCCUCUCACUGACCACCAAUGAAAGAGGUGCCCCUUCUGGAAGUGUGGUGGGGGCCAGAUACAUAGUGUAAGGGAGCUGCAUGUGCCCCAUGGGCCAUAGUUUGGGGACUCCUGCCCCAAGUCCUGUAUUUACCCAUUGUGCAAUCUAGGGGUAUAUUGGUUGAAUGUUCAAGAAGUACUAGUACUUGGUGUGAGAGCUUGCUAAGUCCUUUUCAGAACUGCAGAUCCACUUUGGUGUCUAUCUUUCACCCAGUUCUCACCUGUGGCUCUAAGAUAUACCAUACACAACAACCACACAAAGGGUACUCUUCCCAGAAACGGAAGUAUUUGCCUCCUGAUGCAUGGGGAUGAGAGGAGGAUGGCUUCACCAAAGCUGGCUACCUCAUGUGAAAAUAUAACAUUAGCCUGGCAAGACAACUUUGGAUGUUAAAGCAAAGGAUCUUACUUCUGAACCUCUGAACUGUAUCCCAGUGAAUUAAUGGAUUGGUCCUUCAUAUAAUACUAGGAGACACUAUACUGGUGUUGUGACAAUGUUCUAAGGAAUCAGAAGACUUGUCUCUGAUCUGGCCUGAGGUCAAAGUCCAACAAUUCAGAAGGGCUCAGAAAAGUGAGCAUAAAGUUGGAAUGAGGAAAUGAAGUAGGAUUUUUUUGCCUGAAAACCACAGAGAGGGGAGAGCACUGGGUUCACCCCUGGUGUGACUGCUGUAAUGGAGAAGCUUCUCCAAACAGAGAGACCAACUGAGAAGCUUCUUCUCAACACUCCAACCUCCUGGGGCCCAUCUCCCAAUGAGAAGAAAGAUUCAGCCUGGCACUCCUCCUUUAGUGCCAUCCUCUGUCACACUGUAAAGCUGGCUUGAGGAGGAGGCAGCAAGGAUGCCUGCUUGUGCUAGCACAUACACUUGGGGAUGCCUAGGAGAGAACCAGCAUGCCUGACAUAUGCCUAUCAAUCUGGUACAGUGGAACUGAAGGAGGAGGCUUGCAAAGGGAAGAGGCAACCACGUGUCCAGGUGCCUUUUGAUUCUCUGGCUUAAUUGUAAUUAUUUAAUGAAUAAUUA